rnacentral:rRNA from 1 species
GAUGAACGCUGGCGGCGUGCCUAACACAUGCAAGUCGAACGAUGAAACCGCCUCCGGGCGGACAUGAAGUGGCGAACGGGUGAGUAACACGUGACCGACCUGCCCCCCGCCCAGGGACAGCCCCCCGAAAGGGGGAUUAAUACCUGGUACUCCGGAAGCGGCGCAUGCCGUCUCCGGGAAAGCUCUGGCGGCGGGGGGUGGGGGCGCGGCCCAGCAGGUAGACGGCGGGGCAGAGGCCCACCGUGCCGACGAGGGGUAGCCGGGUUGAGAGACCUACCGGCCACAUUGGGACUGGGAUACGGCCCAGACUCCUACGGGAGGCAGCAGUGGGGAAUUUUGCGCAAUGGGGGCAACCCUGACGCAGCAACGCCGCGUGCGGGACGAAGGCGUCCGCGUCGUAAACCGCUUUCAGCGGGGAACACCUAACGAGGGUACCCGCAGAAGAAGCCCCGGCUAAAUACGUGCCAGCCGCCGCCGUAA